UACGGAGGGUGCAAGCGUUAAUCGGAAUUACUGGGCGUAAAGCGCACGCAGGCGGUCUGUCAAGUCGGAUGUGAGAUCCCCGGGCUCAACCUGGGAACUGCAUUCGAAACUGGCAGGCUAGAGUCUUGUAGAGGGGGGUAGAAUUCCAGGUGUAGCGGUGAAAUGCGUAGAGAUCUGGAGGAAUACCGGUGGCGAAGGCGGCCCCCUGGACAAAGACUGACGCUCAGGUGCGAAAGCGUGGGGAGCAAACAGG
rnacentral:rRNA from 1 species